AGUAGCUGUUAUUGAGCAACACUUACUGCUUCUAAAAACUUAGGAAGUAAUUAAAAGAUAAUGUAUGCUUUUCAGUUACAGCACAGCGAGCACAUAUAAAGAUGUAGCACU
rnacentral:snRNA from 1 species